rnacentral:siRNA from 1 species
CACGUCCAUGCUUCUUAGCACACA